rnacentral:rRNA from 1 species
GAUAAACGCUGGCGGCGCGCCUAAUACAUGCAAGUCGAGCGAGAAGACGUAGCAAUACGUUUGUAAAGCGGCGAACGGGUGAGGAAUACAUGGGUAACCUACCCUCGAGUGGGGAAGUAACUAGCCGAAGGUUAGCUAAUACCGCGUACGCUUCUUGGACUUCGGUUCAGGGAGGAAAGCGAUACCGUGGGUAUCGCGCUCUUGGAUGGGCUCAUGUCCUAUCAGCUUGUUGGUGAGGAACGGCUCACCAAGGCUUCGACGGGCAGCUGGUCUGAGAGGACGAUCAGCCACACUGGCACUGCGACACGGGCCAGACUCCUACGGGAGGCAGCAGUAAGGAAUAUUGCGCAAUGGGCGAAAGCCUGACGCAGCGACGCCGCGUGGGGGAGUGAA